rnacentral:tRNA from 1 species
GAACGGCGGACUGUUAAUCCGUAUGUCACUGGUUCGAGUCCAGUCAGAGGAGCCAAAUUUAGAAAAACCCGCU